CCAGAUUUGAGGCCAUGGACCAUAGAAUGGACCAAAUGGCUUUAGCAUUACAAACUUUGUUAACACGCUCCAGCACCCAGUCUGAAGAAAUACGUUCCACUGCUAGCCACCCACUAAGUACUGGUUUGGAAGUAGCCACUGUAGGCGCAUCUUCCCAUGUCACUUCACCGUUACGUUAUGGGGGUUCGCCUGAUGCUUGUCGUGGUUUUUUAAACCAGAUAAGCAUACAUUUCGAACUUCAACCCCGGGCUUACCCUACUGACAGGGCUAAAGUAGGCUUCAUUAUAACUCUGCUAAUUGAUAAAGCACUUAGAUGGGCCAAUCCCCUUUGGGAGAAUGACAAUCCUUUAGUCUACAACUACACUGCUUUUGUCACGGCUUUUAGAAGAAUUUUUGACCCCCCAGGAAGGAAGAUUAAUGCGGCCAGAUCCCUGUUACGCCUUAAACAACAGAAUAGGACCCUUGUAGAAUAUGCACUAGAGUUUAGAUCAUUGGCAGCAGAAGUGAAAUGGAACGAACAAGCUUUUAUGGAUGUAUUCUUGAAUGGGUUGUCUGAUGAAAUUCUAGAUGAGAUUGCCACAAGAGAACUUCCGGAAAAUUUAGAGGAUUUAGUAUCCUUCAUUUCCAGAAUAGAUGAACGCAUGAGACAGAGGCAGAACACUCGGGAAAGAGUUACUAGACUUCCUGUAAGACUCGCUCCCUCAUUUCAGAAUCCUGACUCCUAUAAUCCUACUCCACCAGAACCUAUGCAAAUAGGUAAUACUCGCUUAUCUGAGGCUGAGAGACA